AGACGUCUACAUUAGAUACCCGUGUAGUCCCAGCCGUAAACUAUGCGCGUUAGGUGUAUCGGUGACCACGAGUCACCGAGGUGCCGAAGGGAAACCGUGAAACGUGCCACCUGGGAAGUACGGUCGCAAGGCUGAAACUUAAAGGAAUUGGCGGGGAGCACCACAACGGGUGGAGCCUGCGGUUUAAUUGGACUCAACGCCGGGAAGCUCACCGGAUAAGACAGCGGAAUGAUUGCCGGGCUGAAGACUCUGCAUGACUAGCUG
rnacentral:rRNA from 1 species